ACACCGGGAUUCAUAACCCUUUGUUGUCCGACUCUGUUGCCUCCGGGGCGACCCUGCCUUCGGGCGGGGGCUCCGGGUGGACACUUCAAACUCUUGCGUAACUUAUGCAGUCUGAGUAAACUUAAUUAAGUAAAUUAAAAGCUUUUAACAACGGAUCUCUUGGUUCUGGCAUCGAUGAAGAACGCAGCGAAAUGCGAUAAGUAAUGUGAAUUGCAGAAUUCAGUGAAUCAUCGAAUCUUUGAACGCACAUUGCGCCCCCUGGUAUUCCGGGGGGCAUGCCUGUUCUGAGCGUCAUUUCACCACUCAAGCCUCGCUUGGUAUUGGGCAUCGCGGUCCGCCGCGUGCCUCAAAUCGACCGGCUGGGUACUUCUGUCCCCUAAGCGUUGUGGAAACUAUUCGCUAAAGGGUGUUCGGGAGGCUACGCCGUACAACACAACCCCAUUUCUAAGGUUGACCUCGGAUCAGGUA
rnacentral:rRNA from 1 species